AGGAAUAUUGGUCAAUGGACGCAAGUCUGAACCAGCCAUGCCGCGUGAAGGAUGAAGGUCCUCUGGAUUGUAAACUUCUUUUAUCUGGGACGAAAACGGGAUUUUUAUCUCAAUUGACGGUACCAGAGGAAUAAGCACCGGCUAACUCCGUGCCAGCAGCCGCGGUAAUACGGAGGGUGCGAGCGUUAUCCGGAUUUACUGGGUUUAAAGGGGUCGUAGGUGGGAUUAUAAGUCAGUGGUGAAAUCUCUGAGCUUAACUUGGAAACUGCCGUUGAUACUAUAGGUCUUGAAUUAUCUGGAGGUAAGCGGAAUAUUUCAUGUAGCGGUGAAAUGCUUAGAUAUGACAUAGAACACCAAUUGCGAAGGCAGCUUACUACAUAUAAAUUGGCGCUGAGGCACGAAAGCGUGGGGAUCAAACA
rnacentral:rRNA from 1 species